rnacentral:rRNA from 1 species
GAUGAACGCUGGCGGCGUGCUUAACACAUGCAAGUCGAACGGAAAGGCCCAAGCUUGCCUGGGUACUCGAGUGGCGAACGGGUGAGUAACACGUGGGUGAUCUGCCCUGCACUUCGGGAUAAGCCUGGGAAACUGGGUCUAAUACCGGAUAGGACGAUGGUUUGGAUGCCAUUGUGGAAAGUUUUUUCGGUGUGGGAUGAGCUCGCGGCCUAUCAGCUUGUUGGUGGGGUAAUGGCCUACCAAGGCGUCGACGGGUAGCCGGCCUGAGAGGGUGUACGGCCACAUUGGGACUGAGAUACGGCCCAGACUCCUACGGGAGGCAGCAGUGGGGAAUAUUGCACAAUGGGCGCAGGCCUGAUGCAGCGACGCCGCGUGGGGGAUGACGGCCUUCGGGUUGUAAACUCCUUUCGCUAGGGACGAAGCGUUUUUGUGACGGUACCUGGAGAAGAAGCACCGGCUAACUACGUG